GAGUUUGAUCCUGGCUCAGGAUGAACGCUGGCGGUCUGCUUAACACAUGCAAGUCGAACGGGCGCUGAAAUGCGUUAGUGGCGGACGGGUGAGUAACACGUGAGAAUCUGCCAACAGGACGGGGACAACAGGGGGAAACCGCUGCUAAGACCCGAUAAACCGAAAGGGGAAAAAGAAAUUGCCAGUUGAUGAUCUCGCGUCGGAUUAGCUAGUUGGUAGUGUAAGAGACUACCAAGGCGACGAUCCGUAGCCGGUCUGAGAGGACGAUCGGCCACACUGGGACUGAGACACGGCCCAGACUCCUACGGGAGGCAGCAGUGGGGAAUUUUCAGCAAUGGGCGAGAGCCUGACGGAGCAAGACCGCGUGAGGGAGGAAGGCUCUUGGGUUGUAAACCUCUUUUCUCAAGGAAGAAGAAAUGACGGUACUUGAGGAAUCAGCAUCGGCUAACUCCGUGCCAGCAGCCGCGGUAAUACGGAGGAUGCAAGCGUUAUCCGGAAUGAUUGGGCGUAAAGCGUCCGCAGGUGGCAGUUCAAGUCUGCCGUUAAAGACUCCAGCUUAACUGGAGGAAGGCGGUGGAAACUGAACAGCUAGAGUGCGGUAGGGGCAGAGGGAAUUCCCGGUGUAGCGGUGAAAUGCGUAGAGAUCGGGAAGAACACCAGUGGCGAAAGCGCUCUGCUGGACCGCAACUGACACUCAGGGACGAAAGCUAGGGGAGCGAAUGGGAUUAGAUACCCCAGUAGUCCUAGCCGUAAACGAUGGAUACUAGGUGUUGUGCGUAUCGACCCGCGCAGUGCCGCAGCUAACGCGCUAAGUAUCCCGCCUGGGGAGUACGCACGCAAGUGUGAAACUCAAAGGAAUUGACGGGGGCCCGCACAAGCGGUGGAGUAUGUGGUUUAAUUCGAUGCAACGCGAAGAACCUUACCAGGACUUGACAUGUCCGGAAUCUCGGUGAAAGCUGAGAGUGCCUUCGGGAACCGGAACACAGGUGGUGCAUGGCUGUCGUCAGCUCGUGUCGUGAGAUGUUGGGUUAAGUCCCGCAACGAGCGCAACCCUCGUUUCUAGUUGCCAGCAUUAAGUUGGGCACUCUGGAGAGACUGCCGGUGACAAACCGGAGGAAGGUGGGGAUGACGUCAAGUCAGCAUGCCCCUUACGUCCUGGGCUACACACGUACUACAAUGCUUCAGACAAAGGGCAGCUAGCCAGCGAUGGUCAGCAAAUCCCAGAAACUGAGGCUCAGUUCAGAUCGCAGGCUGCAACUCGCCUGCGUGAAGGCGGAAUCGCUAGUAAUCGCCGGUCAGCAUACGGCGGUGAAUACGUUCCCGGGCCUUGUACACACCGCCCGUCACACCAUGGGAGCUGGCGGUGCCCGAAGUCGUUAUCCUAACCCCUCGGGGAGGGAGACGCCGAAGGCAAAGCUGGUGACUGGGGUGAAGUCGUAACAAGGUAACCGUA
rnacentral:rRNA from 1 species